rnacentral:lncRNA from 1 species
GUAGACGCUCUGUUUUAUUUAUUUAUUUAUCGCUUCAGUCCGAUUUCGUGAACGCUUUUGUUCAGACACCGGUUCAGCAAAAAGAGAUUUCAUGAGACUCCAGAAUUAAAAACAAGCCGUGAUGGAUGAGAACCAAGCUCUGAGGGAAAGCACUGCACGAGCAGCUUCGGAUGACAGCGGCUCACUUCAAGAGCAGGUGAAGCAAGUUGGGACAAUGUUGAAGACGUUUGCUCGCACUGGGCAAUCAGAUGCAGAUCAGACCUUAAUGCUGCGACGUCUUGGAGAGUUUGGCGAUGUUGUGCGAAGCAUGGACAACAAAAUGGACACUAUGCUGCAACAUUUCAGUGCCAAUGUGUCUGUUGGCGUUGCUUGACAACAGUUUGAGGCAGGAUAAAGAGCUCCAGGAACGAUUUGUAAGUGUGCUGAUUUCGUUUAUAACUCCAUAGGGUAAUGUAAAAAGUAGAAUUAAGAUUGUACACUGCAUAUUCUACAGUCUGAAUCCACAGCCUGUCACAUUUUAUAUUUAUGUAUGAUAAGCUUCAGAGAAAUGUAAUUUGUAACACUUUUUUUGGAUUUUCAGCUUUCGGUUUUGGCAAUCAAAUGUGGGAGGGACCUAUAAGACAACCGUCUGGCGUAUGCUUCAAAGUACCUUCUCUAAUCACCUUUCCAUCAAUACAACCUGGACUGGAGUUGGGGAUAAAGCAUGUUUUAGAGACAUGUUCCUGAAGACCAUUGUUCAAAGUAAGUUGGAUGUAAAAAAUAAGUUUAGUUAGAUGUGUAUGGCAUUAUGCCAUUCAAAUAGGAAUGACAGAUCUGUAUUUUCUUACAGGAGCCAUCCGGAAGAACUCGGCAACACAGGAUGCCACUGAUGAAGCCGUCCAGGUUAACGUUACGCGUUACCUGAAAGGAGCAUCUGACCGUGAAGGCGGAAAAAGGCGCCGCACAGCUGAGAGGGACCCACAGCCGACCCCUUAAACCUAGGCUGACUACUGACACCCCAGCAUCACUGACAACUGGAACCCUUUCUUUAUCCUGCAGUCAGUAACAUCAAGACCCCUAAAGAAGCCAGAAGUGUCAGACUGCACUCCCCAAUCCACACUGUUCACUGUGGAUAUUAUCAUAGUGCUUAACUCUUAUUAUAUUGUUAAAUAUAGCUUGUAAAUCCUUGUGCCACAGGUCAGCAUUGCAGUUAUAUCUGUUCUACUACUUUUUUUACCUCUAGUAUUUUUACACAGAUACAAGAGACAUCUUGUACCCCAGGUCAGCAAUGCCAAUAUAAUGGUCUAUUCUACUCCAGAGCUUUAUUCUAAAUUAUUACCACUUAUCUUAUUGUUAGAAAUGGCUUGUAAAUGUGAUGUUAUACCUGAAUUUUUUUUGGUGUCCUGCACAUUCUUUGGUACCAGAUAUACUCAUUACUUAUGUUUACUGGUAAUUCUUUUCAUCCCAGAGCUGACCUCUUUAUAUUAUUAACAAUUAUUGUAAGUGUUAUAAUUUGCUUGUAAGCUAAGGCUGUUUUUUUUUUAACAAUUUAAUUGGAAACCUGCAUGUUCUUUUGUGUGUGUGUGUGUGUAUAUAUUUUUUUCUCUUUUUUUCUGUUAUUUAUAUUUCAGGGAUCUGACAUCAUGUUUCAAUGACAGUUACUGUACUUUGAAAUGUGGAAUUAAAACGUCAAAUGGAAAUUUGUCUGGUUUGAUCAAUCAUUAUUCUUGAUAAACUGCAUUAUAUAUAUAUAUAUAAGCGGCGACCGAUCGCUCGAAAAUAGCGUUUGCCUCCGACGGGC